rnacentral:rRNA from 1 species
UGGGUAACACUAACUGGAGGACCGAACCGACUAAUGUUGAAAAAUUAGCGGAUGACCUGUGGCUGGGGGUGAAAGGCCAAUCAAACCGGGAGAUAGCUGGUUCUCCCCGAAAGCUAUUUAGGUAGCGCCUCGUGAAUUCAUCUCCGGGGGUAGAGCACUGUUUCGGCUAGGGGGCCAUCCCGGCUUACCAACCCGAUGCAAACUGCGAAUACCGGAGAAUGUUAUCACGGGAGACACACGGCGGGUGCUAACGUCCGUCGUGAAGAGGGAAACAACCCAGACCGCCAGCUAAGGUCCCAAAGUCAUGGUUAAGUGGGAAACGAUGUGGGAAGGCCCAGACAGCCAGGAUGUUGGCUUAGAAGCAGCCAUCAUUUAAAGAAAGCGUAAUAGCUCACUGGUCGAGUCGGCCUGCGCGGAAGAUGUAACGGGGCUAAACCAUGCACCGAAGCUGCGGCAGCGACACUGUGUGUUGUUGGGUAGGGGAGCGUUCUGUAAGCCUGUGAAGGUGUGUCGUGAGGCAUGCUGGAGGUAUCAGAAGUGCGAAUGCUGACAUAAGUAACGAUAAAGCGGGUGAAAAGCCCGCUCGCCGGAAGACCAAGGGUUCCUGUCCAACGUUAAUCGGGGCAGGGUGAGUCGACCCCUAAGGCGAGGCCGAAAGGCGUAGUCGAUGGGAAACGGGUUAAUAUUCCCGUACUUGGUGUUACUGCGAAGGGGGGACGGAGAAGGCUAUGUUGGCCGGGCGACGGUUGUCCCGGUUUAAGCGUGUAGGUGUGUGUUCCAGGUAAAUCCGGUUCACUUUAACACUGAGGCGUGACGACGAGGCACUACGGUGCUGAAGCAACAAAUGCCCUGCUUCCAGGAAAAGCCUCUAAGCAUCAGGUAACAUCAAAUCGUACCCCAAACCGACACAGGUGGUCAGGUAGAGAAUACCAAGGCGCUUGAGAGAACUCGGGUGAAGGAACUAGGCAAAAUGGUGCCGUAACUUCGGGAGAAGGCACGCUGACACGUAGGUGAAGUGAUUUACUCAUGGAGCUGAAGUCAGUCGAAGAUACCAGCUGGCUGCAACUGUUUAUUAAAAACACAGCACUGUGCAAACACGAAAGUGGACGUAUACGGUGUGACGCCUGCCCGGUGCCGGAAGGUUAAUUGAUGGGGUCAGCGCAAGCGAAGCUCCUGAUCGAAGCCCCGGUAAACGGCGGCCGUAACUAUAACGGUCCUAAGGUAGCGAAAUUCCUUGUCGGGUAAGUUCCGACCUGCACGAAUGGCGUAAUGAUGGCCAGGCUGUCUCCACCCGAGACUCAGUGAAAUUGAACUCGCUGUGAAGAUGCAGUGUACCCGCGGCAAGACGGAAAGACCCCGUGAACCUUUACUAUAGCUUGACACUGAACAUUGAGCCUUGAUGUGUAG